AGCGAACGCUGGCGGCAGGCUUAACACAUGCCAGUCGAGCGCCCCGCCAGGGGAGCGGCAGACGGGUGAGUAACACGUGGGAACGUACCCUUUGGUUCGGAACAACCCAGGGAAACUUGGGCUAAUACCGGAUAAGUCCGCGAGGAGAAAGAUUUAUCGCCGAAGGAUCGGCCCGCGUCUGAUUAGCUAGUUGGUGUGGUAACGGCGCACCAAGGCGACGAUCAGUAGCUGGUCUGAGAGGAUGAUCAGCCACACUGGGACUGAGACACGGCCCAGACUCCUACGGGAGGCAGCAGUGGGGAAUAUUGGACAAUGGGGGCAACCCUGAUCCAGCCAUGCCGCGUGAGUGAUGAAGGCCCUAGGGUUGUAAAGCUCUUUCGGUGGGGAAGAUAAUGACGGUACCCACAGAAGAAGCCCCGGCUAACUUCGUG
rnacentral:rRNA from 1 species